rnacentral:rRNA from 1 species
AUUAGAUACCCUGGUAGUCCACGCCGUAAACGAUGAUUACUAGGUGUCGUUGGACUGACCCCUUCCGUGCCGGAGUUAACACAAUAAGUAAUCCACCUGGGGAGUACGGUCGCAAGACUGAAACUCAAAGGAAUUGACGGGGGCCCGCACAAGCAGUGGAGUAUGUGGUUUAAUUCGACGCAACGCGAAGAACCUUACCAGGCCUUGACAUCCCUUGCAUAGCUCAGAGAUGAGUGAAGUCCUUCGGGACAAGGAGACAGGUGGUGCAUGGUUGUCGUCAGCUCGUGUCGUGAGAUGUUGGGUUAAGUCCCGCAACGAGCGCAACCCUUAUUAUUAGUUGCUACGCAAGAGCACUCUAAUGAGACUGCCGUUGACAAAACGGAGGAAGGUGGGGAUGACGUCAAAUCAUCAUGCCCUUUAUGGCCUGGGCUACACACGUACUACAAUGGCACUCAAACAGAGGGAAGCGAAGGGGCGACCUGGAGCGAAACCCGAAAAAGUGUCCCAGUUCGGAUUGCAGGCUGCAACCCGCCUGUAUGAAGUCGGAAUCGCCAGUAAUCGCGGAUCAGCAUGCCGCGGUGAAUACGUUCCCGGGUCUUGUACACACCGCCCGUCAAACAAUGGGAGUGGUGUUUACCAGAAGUCGUUAGCCUAACCGCAAGGAGGGCGCUGCCGAAGGUAGGAUUGGCGACUGGGGUGAAGUCGUAACAAGGUACC